UUGGUUGAUCGACAAAACGGUUGAAAUGACUCGAAUGAUUCCGCGAAAAGCAGUCUUUGUAGUGCCCUAUCAAACGAUAAGUUUGACUCGUUUGUUUAUGUUAUAAUCAUAUGAUUGUGAUGAUAUUUUUAGAUGCCGAAUCUUGAGAAUGAGGAAAGUGAAUCUCAACUAUAUCCUCAAAAUUGUUUACCAAAAUGCGAAAGUUAACACAACGCAAGCUGAACACUUCGAGAUACGAGAGAUCAUCUUUUUCUGUGCAUAAAUUUGCCGGUAUUUGUCUUUUCUACAAGUGCAGCAUCAUUUUGCUUGUAUCUGACGAGUACAUUUAUAUCUUAAGGUGAUAUAGUGAGCAAGGCACUUACUCUGCAACAAUGGGAAAUUGGAAAAAAGACUGGUGAAGAACGCACUCGGUUUAUCAAACACGUUCACGUUAUGAAAAAUAGAUCUUUAGCUGACUUGUUCAAGGAAUUAAAAAAGAUAGGUUUGUCGUACCGUAAAGGCAUAAACAUUUGCCAGCAAAACUCGUUGAAAAAUCCUAUGUUAGUUGAUACCUCUUACCUUUCAAAACGACUGAAAAACAUGGACAAUAUCAUGGAAGACAAAAAAUGUGGAUGUUUUGCAUCAUUGUGGGAAAGUUCGACAGAAUAUUAUCAAAAAUGUGUUUACCCCAACACUGCCGUGAACAACCUUCUUUCAUAGGCUUUGUUGGUUAUGAUCAUUUAUGGUUGGAAAAAUGAAGAGAUGUGGUAUUUGUAUAAUAAACGAAAGGAAGAACAAACGGCUAAUGAGAUGAAUCAGAAGAUAUGAUGAAAUUUGGUUCCGUGACUUCUGCCCAACAAGUUGUUGAGUCCGAUAACCUUUUGGCAUCAUCAGAGUUGCAGGAUCCAUCAGACAACAGGACUUUGGAAUCUGCAACACCCGCCGAACAAAGUGUUUUGUCAGGUGAAGUAGCAGAGUAAGAAAAGCAAAAGCCAAAUGCACAGUGACUCAAGUGU